UACGGGGGGGGCAAGCGUUGUUCGGAAUUACUGGGCGUAAAGGGCUCGUAGGUGGCCAACUAAGUCAGACGUGAAAUCCCCAGGCUCAACCUGGGAACUGCGUCUGAUACUGGAUGGCUUGAAUCCGGGAGAGGGAUGCAGAAUUCCAGGUGUAGCGGUGAAAUGCGUAGAUAUCUGGAGGAACACCGGUGGCGAAGGCGGCGUCCUGGACCAACACUGACACUGAGGAGCGAAAGCCAGGGGAGCAAACGGG
rnacentral:rRNA from 1 species